rnacentral:rRNA from 1 species
AGAGUUUGAUCAUGGCUCAGGAUGAACGCUAGCGGCAGGCUUAAUACAUGCAAGUCGUGGGGCAGCGCGGGUAGCAAUACCUGGCGGCGACCGGCAAACGGGUGCGGAACACGUACGCAACCUUCCUUUAAGCGGGGAAUAGCCCAGGGAAACUUGGAUUAAUACCCCAUAGAAAUGCAGAGUGGCAUCACUUGGCAUUU